rnacentral:rRNA from 1 species
CAGUCGCCGCGGUAAAACGUAGGUGGCAAGCGUUGUCCGGAAUUAUUGGGCGUAAAGCGUGCGCAGGCGGUUUUGUAAGACAGGCGUGAAAUCCCCGGGCUCAACCUGGGAAUGGCGCUUGUGACUGCAAAGCUAGAGUGCGGCAGAGGGGGAUGGAAUUCCGCGUGUAGCAGUGAAAUGCGUAGAUAUGCGGAGGAACACCGAUGGCGAAGGCAAUCCCCUGGGCCUGCACUGACGCUCAUGCACGAAAGCGUGGGGAGUAAACAGGAUUAGAUACCCCGGUAGUCCCUGUCUCUUAUAC